GCGCCUGUCGUCCCAGCUACUUGAAGGGCUGAGGUAGGAGGAUCCUUUGAGCCUGGGAAGCGAACGUUGCAGUGAGCCAUUUUGCCACAUGCACUCCAGCCUGGGUGACAGAGUGAGACCCUGUCUCAAAAAAGAAAAAAAGGAAAGAAAAAAGAAAUAAAAUAGUAUGGAAUAGAGCCUCAAGUGUUCGCAGGGGACCAUCUCUCUAACUGACGUGCAGAACAGGCUUAGCCAUGCGAAAUAGAUGUGAGUUCAGAUCCCAGACAAGACAUCAAGGUUAGUUACAGGAGAGUGUCGGGAGGAGGAUUCAAGGAAGAACUCAGAGUGGCCAGAAUGCUUGUUUAAAGAGGAGCAGAAAUUAUCUGAUAAACUGCGUAAACUGCUUGUCAGCUUUACAAUGUAAAUGAAACUAUUAGCAAGGUGAAAAGCUGACAUCUGCUUGCAGGACAAAUCAAGUCAAAUAAUUAUUUUUUAGAUUCACUUAUGCUAGAAAGCAGACGUUUACUUCCUAGUCUCUAAUACUGACCAAGUCACCACACCCUCUUGGAAUGUUUACUGGGGCUGAGUGAGUGGAAAGUGAGGGAUGGGAGGAGGAAGGGGGAUGGGAGGCUGACAGUCUCUCAGCAUUGCCUUCAGGCUUUCUGUUAGUAUUACCAGACAUUUGAAAUGGGUGACACAAUGAGGAUUUACACAGAAGGAAGAACUGUUUGCUUCUCUCUAGGCCGCAGAAGCUUCUGUAUCUCAAAAUUAUUAUUCCAAAAUGAUUUUGCUUUCCAUUUACCCACAAGGACCUGACCCAAAAGGUAUUUAGUUUUCAAAUGAGCAUACAAAUAAUUCAAAACAAAACAAGCUCUUAACAACAACAACAAAACCUUAUUUAAAAUCCCUGGAAGGCAUCUAGUGAGAGCAGUAUGUGACUGACGUGGUAAAUUAGGCCUGCUGGAGAAAAAAUCAAGACAAAAUAUGGAUUCAUUGUUAUUUUGAAAGGCAGCCAUCUUUCCAAGAGAAUGUGUACACCACAUUUUAUUAAGAAAUUACAUCUUUCCCCAUAUUUUCCUUUUCUCUUUCACAUGCUGGCAAUGGCAAGCAGGUUGAGCAGAUGUGAUAAAAGAAUUAAUACCAGUCUUGGGAACACGUAGACGAAAUAUUUCUUUUGAAAUACCUACCUUUAAAUUCCAUUAGUUCAAUCUGAUACUGAAAGAGCCUGGAUUAGGGAAAUGAUUUACACAGCACAGGUUGUUUGUCCAGACUUAGAGCCCUUUUGUAAUAUGAAAAACGUGAAGAUGAAUUUAAUAUUUCUCCAAUGAAUUGGCACAGGGUUUAAAAUCUUGCUUUGACUGAGAUAAUUGCGUUUGUUUUAGUGUUAAUAAAUUCACCUCGGUGAGAAUUUUUCUUUUUUUUUCUUCUAGAUUCAUUCAUAGCUGCUACACAUUCAUCUCUAUAUAAAACCUACUCUCCCCUCUGAAAAAGCAGCAUAACCAGUCAACGAACAAGUAUAUAGGAUUAGCACAUUAUGAAGAAUAAAGAGAAGCUUUCAGCUCUCCGUCAUGGAUGAUAUUUAUCACAUUUUCCACGACUGGCUCUAAUAACAGUGCAGAGAUAAAAUAGGCUUGAUGCAUCUUUCCUGUACAGAGAAUUUUACAACAGCAACUGUAAGAAAUUCAGGAGAUGAAACACUUCUCCCCUCUUGCAGUUUUUAUUAGUCUUAAAAAUGGGAGGACUGAACUGGAAACAAAAGCAUGAAAAUUCAACACAUCCACUUACAGAAUAAUAAAGGCUGUUGUUUAAAGCGUGAAGAGUUUUGGCACCCUUCUGGGGCCUUAUGCAAAUCGCUCUUCCUCUCAACUGCUACCACACCAUCGGUCUUGGAAAUUAAAGAUGUACUUGGUCGGUUAACAGCUGAAAGGAGAAGAGCAGCCUGAAACUCAAUUAGAUUUGUAUUAAGCAAAUAAAUCAGGACUGACUGAUAUUGGCUAAACUAAAAUGCAUUAUGGGCUGACAGUAAUUCUAAUUUGAUGGACAAAUAUAUGUAGUGUGUUAUUAACCUAAAUGAAAGAUGAGAAUCCUUUUUUUUUCUUUUUAAAGGAUUUUGUUCUAGUAAACAAUCCGCUCUCCCUCUGAACUUACACAAAACAAUAAACAGAGACUACUGGUAUGGUUCUGUUUACAAUCCAUGCUCAAGAACACAGGAAAUCUAUUUUCUAUUACGUGGUUAGAGUUUGAGACAAAAUUAUUGUGCUGAAAGACAUUUGUUUUUAUCGAUUUAUUUGGUGUAAUGUAACAUCUCAACACAUUAUUUAUUUGGUACACCAAGCACGCUAUUUUUAUUAUGGUGAGUAACACAAAAGCAUAGACCUGGUAUAUGUCUCAUUAUUUAUUCGGAACCCUGUAGUAUAGGAGGCUUUUCCACACCAGGGCACAUACAAAGGGGCCUCAAAUAUGGUUCAAAGUCAUAAAUGAAGAUUUCAAUAAAAUCCUCCAAAGCUUUGAGGAAAACAAAAAACACUCAACAAAUAGCAUAAACGUGUUGGUGUGUGUGGUUGGAUAAGACAUUUCCUUUGAAAGAAGAGUUUUGGGAGUUUCAACUUACUUCCUUGUCUUUGCUGUUUACACCUUUAGAACUUACAGAAAUGGCCAGGUGUGGUGGCUCACACCUGUAAUCACAGCACUUUGAGAGGCUGAGGCAGGAGGAUGGGUUGAACACAGGAGUUUGAGAUCAGUCUGGGCAACAUGGAGAAAUCCUCAUCUUUAAAACAUACUUUUUGACAAACUUAGCCACGCUUGGUGGCACAUGCCUGUGGUCCCAGCCACUCAGGAGGUUGAGGCAGAGGAUUGCUUGAGCUUAGCAGUUCGAGGUCGCAGUCAACUAUGAUCACACCACUGCAAUCUAGCCUGGGCAACAGAAUGAGACCCUGUCUCAAAAACAACAACGAGAAAAACCUUACAGAGAUUUAGGUCAUUACAUUUAACAUCCUGCUAAAUUAAUAAUUAACUAGUAACUUAAUACUUUUGCUUUGGUUGUAACUAUGUUCUAUUUUCGUCACCUUUUCCUUCUGGCUAUCAGAUUAAAGACUCAUUGACUCACUGUUGUCUUUCAAUUAUCUUUCCUUCUACAUUUCCUACCUGGCUCUUCUUGCCAAAUCCUGCUGCGUUUUGCUCUGCAUAGGUGCCAGAAAUUGUCUAUUUCUCCCCUUCAAAACUUGUCCAAACCUUUGCCCCUGUGUGGGCAGCUUCCUGCCGCAGCUCUUGCCAGUACCUGUUCUCAUAUCUCCUUGUUGGGGCUCAGAAAGCAACACCCCAAAACAUGGUGCUUUGGCACUGCUGAGCACUUUGAACUGGAGAUCAGAAGGCCUUAGAAGCUGCUUCAGAAGCAAAAUCUCUGACCUUCUCCUGUUCUCUCGUCCUCUCCCUCUCCUUCUCCUCCAAAACAAGUUAUAGAGUCUAGAAUUUCUCUUCCCCAAGGCAGGUUAUAGAAACUAGAUCUCCUCUCCCCAAAAAGCAAGCCAUAAAGAAGACCCUCAUUCCAAAGGAGUCCUUCCCUGUAGCCAGGAGGAAGGAAUGCCACACAGAGAGGCCAAGGUGAAUUGGAACAGACAGGGAUUGCUGGGUUUUCACCCCUACAGUCUAUUACCACUAGAUCAUUCCCUUUGUCCAGUCACAUUUCUACGUGGCUGUCUAUUCUUCAUUGAAUCUAAGCAUAAAAACAGACAAUUUUCCCUCAGUCUUUGACUCCUCAUAUCUCAAAGUUUGAGAUAUGAAGACUCAAUCUUUGUCAUGUAAAACUUGAUUAUAUCAAGUAACUUUGUUAUGCCUUUUUUUUUUGAGUUGGAGUCUCGCUGUGUCGCCCAGGCUGGAGUGCUGUGGCGCGAUCUCGGCUCACUGCAAGCCUCGCCUCCCAGGUUCACGCCAUUCUCCUGCCUCACCUCCCGAGUAGCUGGGACUACAGGCACCCGCCACCACACCUGGCUAAUUUUUUUGUAUUUUUAGUAGAGACGGGGUUUCACUGUGUUAGCCAGUGUGGUCUCGAUCUCCUGACCUCAUGAUCCGCCCGCCUUGGCCACCCAAAGUGCUGGGAUUACAGGUGUGAGCCACUGUGCCCAGCCUGUUACGCCUUUUUCUGGUUAAGCUUCCCCCACUCCCCACCUUUUUUUUUGUUUCAGAGGGUAUAUGUGCAGAUGUAUUACAUGGGUAUAUUGUGUGAUGCUGAGAUUUAGGGUACAGAUGGUCUUGUCACCCAGGCAGUGAGCAUAGUACCCAAUAGGUGGUUUUUCAGCCCACGCCCCCUUCCCUUCUCCUUCUAGUAGUCCUCAGUGUCUAUUGUUCCCUUCUUUGUGUCCAUGUGUACUCAAUGUUUAGCUCCUACUUGUGAGAACACACAGUAUUUGUUUUUCUGUUCCUGUGUUAAUUCAUUAAUUCACAUAGGAUAAUGGCCUUCAGCUGUAUCCAUGUUGCAAACGACAUGAUUUUUUUCUUUCUUAUGGCUGUGUAGUAUUCCAUGGUAUAUAUGUACUGUCUUUUGUUAUAGGAGUGUUGGCCAUGACCCUUAUGAUGGAUGAGGAAAGGGAUCAUACCUUUCUGUCCCACAUCCUCUACUGAACAUAUCAAAGAUUCUUGGCCAAAACCAAUUUUCCCUGACACUCUGUCUCAACUGUUCUUUCCCAUUAUAAUUGGUGUUGAUAUGGACAGGAGGCAGAGAAAUACUAGGUAGAAAAGGGUGGGGCUUCUGGCAAGUGUUCUACCCCCAAGCCUGGACCCACGUCCCUAAAUGAGAACUUCACAUCCCUGUUUUUCUGCGCAAAUAUUACCUUAUGUGCUGCCACCCUCACAUCCUGUGUCCAUAAAAACUCCAAGCUCCACUGGCAGAGGAGCCCAGUGGUGUGGCAGAAAAGGAGAGAAGAGAAGAGGCAGCUGGACAUUGGAGACUACAGUCAGAGAGGAGUUUGGCUGUCUCCAGCUGAACUCCAGGGGAAGAUUAUCUUCCUACUCCAUCCCCUUUCCAGCUCCCCAUCCUACUGAGAGCCACUUCCACUGCUCAAUAAAAUCUCCACAUUGAUUAUCCUUCAAGUCUGUGUGAACUGAUUCUUCCUGGAUGCUGGACAAGAACCCAGGUACCAAGAGGGCAGGGUGUAAAAGCCUGUCACCCUGAUCCUCCACUGACCUGGUUUAACACUUAGCCAUCUGUGGAUGGCAAAUGCUAAAAGAUCAUUGUAAGACAUGCCCUCUGGGGCUCUAGAGGUCACUAGCAACCCCUAGACACUGCCAUGGGCCAGUACCAGGUUCGUUCCUUGCUCCUGCACCUGCCAACCUGCAAGCUUCCCCUCCUGUAAGGAGUUUGAGUGCGGUGGCCGAGCAAAGGAGACACCCCUGUUGCAAGUCCCAUGAGGGGGUCAAGGGAACUCUCCCGUCUCAAUAUUCCUCACUGAUAAUGAGAGCAAAGAACACCAUAGAAUGAGACUUCAUGAAUUGCCAUCAAGUUUUGCACACAGUUACUUUCAUCCCAGAUUAAAGUCUCUCUUUUUAGCUUUUCCAACAGUUGUCAUCUCAGACCACUCAACUGCUGCUCUCACUUCUCUCUUCUCCUUCCUCUGCAGAGCUGGCCAUACUCUUUUUUUUUUUGUCACUCUUUUUUUGUUACAUUUUUGCUUGCUUUCUUGUCAUUUCCUUUAAAAUUCAUCAACAAAAUUAGUUUAUUAAACUUUGAUAUCCAUCCCAGUACUCAUAUAUAAUUUGAUAGUGACAAUCCUUCCACUUAUUGUGAGUUUAGAAUAACUUUGUUCUAUAAUAUUGAUUAGGUUCAGGGCACACUAACCCAAAAUAUGGCACCUUGGCAUAUUGAAUAUUUUAAGCUGAAAGAAUCUGAGAAAUUCCCUAUGCUGGAAGGACUUUCUGACUUUCCCUAAAGCAGGUCAUGUGAGAGGUGCCCUCCUUAUACCUGGAGGAAAGGAGCAUCCAUAUCUCCAAAGACACAGGGAUGCUGAGAGGAAUCUGAAUGGACAAGCCUUGUCGUUUCUCCUAGUUUAUUAUAAUUAGCACAUGCCCAUUUUAUGCUAUCAUAUUUCCCCAUGACCGUCUACUCUUCAUCAAACCUAGCAUAAAGCAACCCAGUUUUAAGCACUUCUUUGGGUCUUCAUUUCCUAUUGAAGGCUCCAGUGUCACGCAAAACAUACACAUUUCUAUGAUUCUUUCUUUCUGUCUUUUGUUCCAGGGGCCCCAGCCAAUGAACCUAAAAUGAGUAAAAGAUAAAGAUGUUUUUCUCCUCCCCAACAAUAUUUGAUUAAUGCUUUUUCAGGUUUCAGACUUUUAGUUAACAUUCUGUAUUGUGAGAUUACUUUUAAAAAAUGAGAUUCAAUCUAAUUUCUUAAAUAAACUUGUGUAUACCUCUUUGGUUGUUCAUUUUGGUUUUUUAUUCCAUUUAGGAACAGUAAUGUCAUAGACUUUUGACAUUCACUGGAUGCCCAUUCAAUGGGCCUUCAUAAAUCUCAAUAAUUUUUUUUCAUUUUAAAAAAUCAUGAUAAAACACAUACGACGUAAACUUUACCAUUGUAACCAUUUUUAAGUAUACAAUUCAGUGGCAUUAAGAACAUUCACAAUGUUGUAUGAUGUGGUUCAGAACACACUGCCCCAAAAUAUGGCACUUUGGCAUAUUGAGUAUUUUAAACUGAAGGAAUUUGAGAAAUAGGUGCUAGAAGGACUCUCUGACCUCCUGUUUUUCCCUUGAAGCAGAUCCCAAGACCCUCAUGUAAGAGGUGCCCUUGCUAUACUCAGAGGAAAAGAGCAUCCCUACCUCUGAAGAGGGAGGGAUGCCGAGAGGAAUCUGAAUGAACAGGGCUUGUUGUUUUCCCCAGAUUACUACCCUUAGCUCAUAGCCUUUGUCCUAUUACAUUUUUCCAUGACUUUUUACUCUUCCUCAAAUCUAGUAGAAAAAUGCACAGGCUUAACUGUUGCUUUGUCUUCAUUUCCUUAUAAAGUUUCCUUGGCCACAUAAAACUUACAUUAAAUAAAUUUUUACAUAUUUUUUCUUGUUAAUCUGUCUUUCGUUAGUCUAAUUUACAGGGUCCCAGUCAGAUAACCUAAAAGGAUAGAGACAAAGGAUAUUUUUUUUCUCUCCUAC
rnacentral:lncRNA from 10 species